CGCGAGUAGGAUAGCAGCCCGAAAGGGCUAUUAAUACUACAUAGGUUUAUGGACUUGUAAAUUAAAGGAGGCGCCCUCGGGAGCCUCGCGCGGAAAAGGGAAUAUGUCCUAUUAGGUAGUUGGCGGGGUAAAGGCCCACCAAGCCAAUGAUGGGUAGCUGGACUGAGAGGUUGAACAGCCGCAAUGGGAUUGAGAUAUGGCCCAUAUUCCUACGGGAAGCAGCAGUGAGGAAUUUUUCACAAUGGACGAAAGUCUGAUGGAGCAAUACCACGUGAACGAUGAAGGUCUUCUGAUUGUAAAGUUCUUUUAUUUAGGAAAAAAAGCGCGCUAGGAAAUGAGCGCGCCUUGAUGGUACUAAUUGAAUAAGUGACAGCUAACUAUGUGCCAGCAGCUGCGGUAAAACAUAGGUCACAAGCAUUAUCCGGAUUUAUUGGGCGUAAAGGAAGCGUAGGCGGGGAGGCUGAUCCAUUGUUAAAGGCAUUUGCUCAACAAAUGUGUGCGAUGGAGAUCUCCUCCCUAGAGUUAAUCAGGGGGUACUGGAAUUCAAUGUGUAGCGGUGGAAUGCGUAGAUAUAUUGAGGAACACCAGAGGCUAAGGCGAGUACCUGGGAUAUAACUGACGCUGAGGCUUGAAAGCGUGGGGAGCAAAUGGGAUUAGAUACCCCAGUAGUCC
rnacentral:rRNA from 1 species